rnacentral:rRNA from 1 species
UACGAGGGGUCCAAGCGUUGUUCGGAAUCAUUGGGCGUAAAGCGGGUGUAGGUGGCUUUGUAAGUCAGGAGUGAAAGCCCUAGGCUCAACCUAGGAAGUGCUUUUGAUACUGCGAAGCUUGAAUGUGGGAGAGGAUCGUGGAAUUCCAGGUGUAGUGGUGAAAUACGUAGAUAUCUGGAAGAACACCAAAGGCGAAGGCAGUGUCCUGGGUGGUCGCUGACGCUGAGAGGCGAAAGCCAGGGGAGCGAACGGG